rnacentral:lncRNA from 1 species
CUUACGAAUUUGUCAAAAAUUGCAAUUAUUUUUUACUAUGCAAAUUAAUAAGGAUGGAGAAAGAGGAAUAAAGUUUGGAACCGAAAAGAGUGGAUUGAAGGCAUGGGGAACGGUUGGUGGUGGUAGUGUCAAGCCACCACCAGUGUGAAGGUUAUUUCUUAGUCAUUUCAUCCAUCACCUUCUUCACUCUUCUCUUGUUGCUUCUCAACAACAAAAACAAACAUAAAUAUGAUGGCAAAACAACAAAGAAGAACCUCGGUUUCC